rnacentral:rRNA from 1 species
AUUUGCCAGCAGCCCGCGGUAAUACGUAGGGUGCGAGCGUUAAUCGGAAUUACUGGGCGUAAAGCGUGCGCAGGCGGUUUUGUAAGUCAGAUGUGAAAUCCCCGAGCUCAACUUGGGAACUGCGUUUGAAACUACAAGACUAGAAUAUGUCAGGGGGGGGUAGAAUUCCACGUGUAGCAGUGAAAUGCGUAGAGAUGUGGAGGAAUACCAAUGGCGAAGGCAGCCCCCUGGGAUAAUAUUGACGCUCAUGCACGAAAGCGUGGGGAGCAAACAGGAUUAGAUACCCUGGUAGUCC